UCCCAUGUGGCUCAGUUGGUAGAGCAUGGGGUUUGCAACACCAGAGUUGUGGGUUCGAUUCCCACGGGGGAC
rnacentral:tRNA from 1 species